GGUGAAAGCCGGGGACCGCAAGGCUCUCGCUGAAGGAGGGGUCCGCGUCCGAUUAGCUAGUUGGUAGGGUAAUGGCCUACCAAGGCGACGAUCGGUAGCCGGCCUGAGAGGGUGAUCGGCCACACUGGAACUGAGACACGGUCCAGACUCCUACGGGAGGCAGUAGUGGGGAAUUUUGCGCAAUGGGCAAACGCCUGACGCAGCAACGCCGCGUGGAGGAUGAAGGUCUUUGGAUUGUAAACUCCUGUCAGCGGGGAAAAAGGGACCUGGGCUAAUACCCUAGGGACUUGAUUGUACCCGCAGAGGAAGCCCCGGCUAACUCUGUGCCAGCAGCCGCGGUAAUACAGAGGGGGCAAGCGUUAUUUCGGAUUACUGGGCGUAAGCGCGCGCAGGCGGGUCCUGUAAGUCGGAAGUGAAAUUUCGGAGCUCAACUCCGAAGCUGCUUCUGAUACUGCGGAUCUAGGGACUGGUAGAGGCUGGUAGAAUUACAGGUGUAGCGGUGGAAUGCGUAGAUAUCUGUAAGAAUACCCGUGGCGAAGGCGGCCAGCUGGGCCAGGUCCGACGCUGAGGCGCGAAAGCGUGGGGAGCAAACAGGAUUAGAUACCCUGGUAGUCCACGCCGUAAACGAUGGGCACUAGGUGCCGGGGGGAG
rnacentral:rRNA from 1 species